rnacentral:rRNA from 1 species
ACGUAGGGUGCGAGCGUUAAUCGGAAUUACUGGGCGUAAAGCGUGCGCAGGCGGUUUUGCAAGACAGAGGUGAAAUCCCCGGGCUCAACCUGGGAACUGCCAGUGAGACUGCAAGGCUGGAGUGCGGCAGAGGGGGAUGGAAUUCCCCGUGUAGCGGUGAAAUGCGUAGAUAUUCGGAGGAACACCGAUGGCGAAGGCAAUCCACUGGGCCUGCACUGACGCUCAGGCACGAAAGCGUGGGGAGCAAACAG